AAACCAUGGUGUGGGCAACAUCUCAACAGGUCCUUGUACCUCUCUUAUGCAUCAUACAUACUCUCAUCAUCAAACCGCACAAAAGAAGAAAUAUCAUUACACAUCUU
rnacentral:snoRNA from 1 species